UGGGGCGUCGCCAAGUGGUAAGGCAACGGACUUUGACUCCGUCAUUCGUAGGUUCGAAUCCUCCCGCCCCAG
rnacentral:tRNA from 1 species